rnacentral:rRNA from 1 species
AUUCUGGCUCAGGAUGAACGCUGGCGGCGUGCUUAACACAUGCAAGUCGAACGGGAUCCAUCAGGCUUUGCUUGGUGGUGAGAGUGGCGAACGGGUGAGUAAUGCGUGACCGACCUGCCCCAUACACCGGAAUAGCUCCUGGAAACGGGUGGUAAUGCCGGAUGCUCCGACUCCUCGCAUGGGGUGUCGGGAAAGAUUUCAUCGGUAUGGGAUGGGGUCGCGUCCUAUCAGGUAGUCGGCGGGGUAACGGCCCACCGAGCCUACGACGGGUAGCCGGCCUGAGAGGGCGACCGGCCACAUUGGGACUGAGAUACGGCCCAGACUCCUACGGGAGGCAGCAGUGGGGAAUAUUGGGCAAUGGGCGCAAGCCUGACCCAGCAACGCCGCGUGAAGGAAGAAGGCUUUCGGGUUGUAAACUUCUUUUGUCAGGGAAGAGUAGAAGACGGUACCUGACGAAUAAGCCACGGCUAACUACGUGCCAGCAGCCGCGGUAAUACGUAGGUGGCAAGCGUUGUCCGGAAUUAUUGGGCGUAAAGAGCAUGUAGGCGGCCUAUUAAGUCGGGCGUGAAAAUGCGGGGCUCAACCCCGUAUGGCGCCCGAUACUGGUGGGCUUGAGUGCAGGAGAGGAAAGGGGAAUUCCCAGUGUAGCGGUGAAAUGCGUAGAUAUUGGGAGGAACACCAGUGGCGAAGGCGCCUUUCUGGACUGUGUCUGACGCUGAGAUGCGAAAGCCAGGGGAGCGAACGGGAUUAGAUACCCCGGUAGUCCUGGCCGUAAACGAUGGGUACUAGGUGUAGGAGGUAUCGACCCCUUCUGUGCCGGAGUUAACGCAAUAAGUACCCCGCCUGGGGAGUACGGCCGCAAGGUUGAAACUCAAAGGAAUUGACGGGGGCCCGCACAAGCAGUGGAGUAUGUGGUUUAAUUCGACGCAACGCGAAGAACCUUACCAAGUCUUGACAUCCCUUGACGAUGCUGGAAACAGUAUUUCUCUUCGGAGCAAGGAGACAGGUGGUGCAUGGUUGUCGUCAGCUCGUGUCGUGAGAUGUUGGGUUAAGUC